rnacentral:rRNA from 1 species
AACGAACGCUGGCGGCAGGCCUAACACAUGCAAGUCGAACGCUCCGCAAGGAGAGUGGCAGACGGGUGAGUAACACGUGGGAAUCUUCCUAUCGGUACGGAAUAGCUCAGGGAAACUUGAGGUAAUACCGCAUACGCCCUUCGGGGGAAAGAUUUAUCGCCGAUAGAUGAGCCCGCAUCUGAGUAGCUAGUUGGUGGGGUAAUGGCCUACCAAGGCGACGAUCAGUAGCUGGUCUGAGAGGAUGACCAGCCACACUGGGACUGAGACACGGCCCAGGCUCCUACGGGAGGCAGCAGUGGGGAAUAUUGGACAAUGGGCGCAAGCCUGAUCCAGCCAUGCCGCGUGAGUGACGAAGGUCUUCGGAUUGUAAAGCUCUUUUGCCAGGGACGAUAAUGACGGUACCUGGAGAAUAAGCCCCGGCUAACUUCGUGCCAGCCGCCGCGGUAAAAC